AGCGAACGCUGGCGGCAGGCCUAACACAUGCAAGUCAAGCGCCGUAGCAAUACGGAGCGGCAGACGGGAGAGUAACACGUGGGAACGUACCCUUUGGUUCGGAACAACCCAGGGAAACUUGGGCUAAUACCGAAUAAGCCCUCACGGGGAAAGAUUUAUCGCCGAAGGAUCGGCCCGCGUCUGGUUAGCUAGUUGGGGGGGUAAUGGCCCACCAAGGCGACGAUCAGUAGCUGGUCUGAGAGGAUGAUCAGCCUCACUGGGACUGAGACACGGCCCAGACUCCUACGGGAGGCAGCAGUGGGGAAUAUUGGACAAUGGGCGCAAGCCUGAUCCAGCCAUGCCGCGUGGGUGAUGAAGGCCCUAGGGUUGUAAAGCCCUUUCGGCGGGGAAGAUAAUGACGGUACCCGCAGAAGAAGCCCCGGCUAACUUCGUGCCAGCCGCCGCUGUAA
rnacentral:rRNA from 1 species